rnacentral:rRNA from 1 species
GACGAACCGUGCGAACGUUGUUCGGAUUCACUGGGCUUAAAGGGCGCGUAGGCGGCUUGCCAAGUCAGGGGUGAAAUCUUUCGGCUCAACCGGAAAACGGCCCCUGAUACUGGCGGGCUUGAGGGAGGUAGGGGCGGAUGGAACUUCCGGUGGAGCGGUGAAAUGCGUAGAUAUUCGGAGGAACACCAGUGGCGAAGGCGGCUCACUGGUCCAUUACUGACGCUGAGGUGCGAAAGUGUGGGGAGCAAACAGG